rnacentral:rRNA from 1 species
CAGCCGCCACGGUAAUACGAGGGGGGCAAGCGUUGUUCGGAAUUAUUGGGCGUAAAGGGUGCGUAGGCGGUUUGACAAGUCUUAUGUGAAAUCUCUGGGCUCAACCCAGAGUCUGCAUGGGAAACUGUCGGGCUUGAGUAUGGGAGAGGUGAGUGGAAUUUCCGGUGUAGCGGUGAAAUGCGUAGAUAUCGGAAGGAACACCUGUGGUGAAAGCGGCUCACUGGACCAUAACUGACGCUGAGGCACGAAAGCUAGGGGAGCAAACAGGAUUAGAUACCCCAGUAGUCCCUGUCUCUUAUAC